rnacentral:lncRNA from 1 species
AGAAAAUCCCAGCCAAGAAAUAAAAGAUAUAAGAAAAAAACAAAUGCAAAUAUUAGAACAAAAAGUAUAACUGAAAUAAAAUCUGAGUUUAUAGGAUCAAUAGUGUAAUGGAGGACAGAGGAAAAAAAUCAGCAAACUAGAACAUAGAACUAUAUAAAUUAUCCAACUUGGGUAACAGGAAAAAAAAAUGAUAGACUGAACAGAACUUCAGGGACUUCAUGCAAAAAGAUAACUACCAUAUGAUUCCACUUCUGUGAGGUGUAUAGAGUAGUCAAAUUCACAGAAAUAAAAACUACAAUUGUGGUUGCUAGGGGCUCGGUGAGAGAGAAUAGUGGGGAGUCACUGUUUAAAAGGAAGAGAGUUUGUUUUGCAAGAUGAAAGGAGCUCUGGAGAUGGAUGGUGAUGAUGGUACACAAUAAUAUGAAUGAACUUAACACUACUGAUCUAUAUACUUUAAAAUGGCUAAGAUGAUAAUUUUUCUGCCAAAAUAUAUGCUGUCAGAAAGGAAGUAUGCCAAAUAAUAUGUACAAGAUUUUUAAUAAAAUGAUGCUUUAUGCAAUAGGACUCUUCCUAAACCAUAUAAAUUGGACUUGGAUUUGGCUAGUUUAUCAAAAAAAGUCUAUUAAUUCAUGUCACAUAAUACAGAGGGUAAUUUUUUAUUUGAUUUGAACAACGAUUCCAUGGAAAAAAAUAUAUGGGAAACUGACAUCAUUCACUUCCUCUAGGGAAAGGAAUAAGAAAGACUCCUACUCAAAAUAAUAGUUUAUAAUGUUGUGAUACAGAUAACAUUUAGAUAUUUCUGAAAAUAUUUUAAAUAUUUAAAGUUAAAGCAGAAAAUAAUAAAAC